rnacentral:misc_RNA from 1 species
CUAAGGAGCACUUCUCCACGAUGCGUCACACAGGUGAUUGUGGUCGUGGCAGAGGCCAUGUCGGACUCGAAUGUAGUCCGGUGGUUGCUCAUGGGUGGAACGCUGGCAUGUGCCUCGUGUAUCGGUUGGUCCUGUGUGGCCGGCCGGCGGGGAUGUAGUCGACACACUGUUGGGUCCUGAGAGAACACGCGAGUGACUCUCUAGGUAUGAGAUAACGACGAGGCUGGAUCUUCAGUCAUACCGCGGGGCUUUCUUCGGAGGGUUUCGGUCUGGUGCUGAGUCAGGGUUUGGUCUUGUGUGUUGUUUGAGAACUGCACAGUGGACGCGAGCAUCUUUGUUUGUAAGUGUUUAAGAGCGUUC